rnacentral:rRNA from 1 species
GCAAGCGUUAUCCGGAAUUACUGGGUGUAAAGGGAGCGUAGACGGUGAUGUAAGUCUGGAGUGAAAGGCGGGGGCCCAACCCCCGGACUGCUCUGGAAACUGUAAAACUGGAGUGCAGGAGAGGCAGGCGGAAUUCCUAGUGUAGCGGUGAAAUGCGUAGAUAUUAGGAGGAACACCAGUGGCGAAGGCGGCCUGCUGGACUGUAACUGACGUUGAGGCUCGAAGGCGUGGGGAGCAAACAGG